rnacentral:lncRNA from 1 species
GGAAAGCAGGUGGUACAGAAAAGGCUUUAUUUGGAAACUUUAUUACAGUUUUUUGAAAAGGCUGGGCAGACGGCAAAGGUGAAGAUUUGUAAGUAAAAAAGGAAGUGUUGCUGCAAACUAAAGCAAGACGCAUAUGUCUUUCUUCUGUUCAUGUUCUUAUAAGUCAAGAGAUGGGCACAACCUGGUGGCUUUCCCUAGAUGCUGAGUGAGAAGCUCUGGGCAAAUUUUCUAAAUUACACUGAAGGAGACUGUAAAGUGAAACCUAAGGAUGCUUGUUUCUCAUUGCCACAAAGUACACUCCCUUCAGGUCACAGAGCCAGAGGAGGGUGUGGGGGUCUUAGGGAAUAACAGUACCUUUCCCCAUUUUGUGGGUUGAAUUGAA